CGCGGACGGGUGAGGUAAAUGCCCUAGGGAAUCUGCCUGGUAUCGGGGGAUAACGUUUCCGAAAGGAACGCUAAUACCGCGUACGUCCUACGGGAGAAAGCAGGGGACCUUCGGGCCUUGCGCUAUCAGAUGAGCCUAGGUCGGAUUAGCUAGUUGGUGAGGUAAUGGCUCACCAAGGCGACGAUCCGUAACUGGUCUGAGAGGAUGAUCAGUCACACUGGAACUGAGACACGGUCCAGACUCCUACGGGAGGCAGCAGUGGGGAAUAUUGGACAAUGGGCGAAAGCCUGAUCCAGCCAUGCCGCGUGUGUGAAGAAGGUCUUCGGAUUGUAAAGCACUUUAAGUUGGGAGGAAGGGCAGUAAGUUAAUACCUUGCUGUUUUGACGUUACCGACAGAAUAAGCACCGGCUAACUUCGUGCCAGCAGCCGCGGUAAUACGAAGGGUGCAAGCGUUAAUCGGAAUUACUGGGCGUAAAGCGCGCGUAGGUGGUUCGUUAAGUUGGAUGUGAAAGCCCCGGGCUCAACCUGGGAACUGCAUCCAAAACUGGCGAGCUAGAGUACGGUAGAGGGUGGUGGAAUUUCCUGUGUAGCGGUGAAAUGCGUAGAUAUAGGAAGGAACACCAGUGGCGAAGGCGACCACCUGGACUGAUACUGACACUGAGGUGCGAAAGCGUGGGGAGCAAACAGGAUUAGAUACCCUGGUAGUCCACCGCCGUAAACGAUGUCAAACUAGCCGUUGGAAUCCUUGAGAUUUAAGUGGCGCAGCUAACGCAUUAAGUUGACCGGCUGGGGAGUACGGGCG
rnacentral:rRNA from 2 species